GACGAACGCUGGCGGCGUGCCUAAUACAUGCAAGUAGAACGCACAGUUUAUACCGUAGCUUGCUACACCAUAGCCUGUGAGUUGCGAACGGGUGAGUAACGCGUAGGUAACCUGCCUGGUAGCGGGGGAUAACUAUUGGAAACGAUAGCUAAUACCGCAUAAUAUUAAUUAUUGCAUGAUAAUUAAUUGAAAGGUGCAAUUGCACCACUACCAGAUGGACCUGCGUUGUAUUAGCUAGUAGGUGAGGUAACGGCUCACCUAGGCGACGAUACAUAGCCGACCUGAGGGGGUGGUCGGCCAAACUGGGACUGAGACACGGCCCAGACUCCUACGGGAGGCAGCAGUAGGGAAUCUUCGGCAAUGGACGAAAGUCUGACCGAGCAACGCCGCGUGAGUGAAGAAGGUUUUCGGAUCGUAAAGCUCUGUUGUAAGAGAAGAACGGGUGUGAGAGUGGAAAGUUCACACUGUGACGGUAUCUUACCAGAAAGGGGCGGCUAACUACGUG
rnacentral:rRNA from 1 species